rnacentral:tRNA from 1 species
GGGCUGGUAGCUCAGCAGUAGAGCGCUACAUUCGCAAUGUAGAGGUCCCGGGUUCGAAUCCCGGCCAGUCCAC